GAUGAACGCUGGCGGCGUGCCUAAUACAUGCAAGUCGAGCGAACAGGCGAGGAGCUUGCUCCUCUGACGUUAGCGGCGGACGGGUGAGUAACACGUGGAUAACCUACCUAUAAGACUGGGAUAACUUCGGGAAACCGGAGCUAAUACCGGAUAAUAUAUUGAACCGCAUGGUUCAAUAGUGAAAGACGGUUUUGCUGUCACUUAUAGAUGGAUCCGCGCCGCAUUAGCUAGUUGGUAAGGUAACGGCUUACCAAGGCGACGAUGCGUAGCCGACCUGAGAGGGUGAUCGGCCACACUGGAACUGAGACACGGUCCAGACUCCUACGGGAGGCAGCAGUAGGGAAUCUUCCGCAAUGGGCGAAAGCCUGACGGAGCAACGCCGCGUGAGUGAUGAAGGUCUUCGGAUCGUAAAACUCUGUUAUUAGGGAAGAACAAAUGUGUAAGUAACUAUGCACGUCUUGACGGUACCUAAUCAGAAAGCCACGGCUAACCACGUG
rnacentral:rRNA from 1 species